rnacentral:rRNA from 1 species
CUACGGGGUGCUCCAGUGGGGAAUUUUGCGCAAUGGGGGAAACCCUGACGCAGCAAUACCGCGUGAGUGAAGAAGGCCUUUGGGUCGUAAAGCUCUUUUCUUGGGGAAGAUAGUGACGGUACCCAAGGAAUAAGCACCGGCUAACUCCGUGCCAGCAGCCGGCGGUAAUACGGAGGGUGCAAGCGUUGUUCGGAUUUACUGGGCGUAAAGGGCACGUAGGCGGCACAGCAAGUUAAGGGUGAAAUCCCGGGGCUCAACUCCGGAACUGCUCUUAAAACUGCUGAGCUAGAGAUAGUCAGAGGCGGGUGGAAUUCCAGGUGUAGAGGUGAAAUUCGUAGAUAUCUGGAGGAACACCGGUGGCGAAGGCGGCCCGCUGGGGCUAUUCUGACGCUAAGGUGCGAAAGCGUGGGGAGCAAACGGGAUUAGAUACCCCCGUAGUC